GACGAACGCUGGCGGCGUGCUUAACACAUGCAAGUCGAGCGGUAAGGCCCUUUCGGGGGUACACGGGCGGCGAACGGGUGAGUAACACGUGGGUGACCUGCCCUCAGCUCUGGGAUAAGCCUGGGAAACCGGGUCUAAUACUGGAUAUGACUCCAUGACGCAUGUUGUGGGGUGGAAAGCCUUGUGCGGCUGAGGAUGGGCCCGCGGCCUAUCAGCUUGUUGGUGGGGUGAUGGCCUACCAAGGCGACGACGGGUAGCCGGCCUGAGAGGGCGACCGGCCACACUGGGACUGAGACACGGCCCAGACUCCUACGGGAAGCAGCAGUGGGGAAUCUUGCGCAAUGGGCGAAAGCCUGACGCAGCGACGCCGCGUGAGGGAUGACGGCCU
rnacentral:rRNA from 1 species